rnacentral:rRNA from 1 species
GUGCCAGCAGCCGCGGUAAUACGUAGGGGGCGAGCGUUAUCCGGAUUUAUUGGGCGUAAAGCGUGUGUAGGUGGUUUGUUAAGUGUAAGAUUAAAGCCCGGGGCUUAACCCCGGUUCGUCUUGCAAACUGGCUUACUUGAGUGUGGUAGAGGCAAGUGGAAUUUCUAGUGUAGCGGUUAAAUGCGUAGAUAUUAGAAGGAACACCAGUGGCGAAGGCGACUUGCUAGGCCAUUACUGACACUGAGACACGAAAGCGUGGGUAGCAAAUAGGAUUAGAUACCCUAGUAGUCCACGCUGUAAACGAUGAGUACUAAGUAUUGGGCAACCGAUGCUGAAACUAACGCAUUAAGUACUCCGCCUGAGUAGUACGGUCGCAAGGCCGAAACUCAAAGGAAUUGGCGG